UAACGGACGCCUAAAGGUCCUACUUUUCUUGUGAUAUAUAAGCUGCUACACUGCAAGUGGCAAAUUCUUAGUUCGUGUUGGUGGGAGUUCAGUUGGUGUGCGGCGAGGGUCAAGUGUCCCAGGACUCCGUGCUACUCUCUUGAGAUUGGAAUAUGGUUAGAUCUGAACAUGUCCGGUCGGUGGUCGAGCUGCUUCCUUUCUGCAAAUGCUGCCUUAAUUACAAAGAGUUAAACGCCACAAGCGGUUCCCUCUAAAUAUCUUGUGUAAAGAUACUUUUAGUAUAACACCACUCAAGUUUAAACAAAGUUAUUUGUGUAUUUUGUAUAGGUGUG